rnacentral:rRNA from 1 species
UACGAAGGGGGCUAGCGUUGUUCGGAAUUACUGGGCGUAAAGGGCUCGUAGGCGGCCAACUAAGUCCGACGUGAAAUCCCCAGGCUUAACCUGGGAACUGCGUCCGAUACUGGUGGGCUCGAAUCCGGGAGAGGGAUGUGGAAUUCCAGGUGUAGCGGUGAAAUGCGUAGAUAUCUGGAGGAACACCGGUGGCGAAGGCGGCAUCCUGGACCGGUAUUGACGCUGAUGCGCGAAAGCCAGGGGAGCAAACGGG